rnacentral:rRNA from 1 species
AGAGUUUGAUCAUGGCUCAGAUUGAACGCUGGCGGCAGGCCUAACACAUGCAAGUCGAGCGGAUGAAGGGAGCUUGCUCCUGGAUUCAGCGGCGGACGGGUGAGUAAUGCCUAGGAAUCUGCCUGGUAGUGGGGGAUAACGUCCGGAAACGGGCGCUAAUACCGCAUACGUCCUGAGGGAGAAAGUGGGGGAUCUUCGGACCUCACGCUAUCAGAUGAGCCUAGGUCGGAUUAGCUAGUUGGUGGGGUAAAGGCCUACCAAGGCGACGAUCCGUAACUGGUCUGAGAGGAUGAUCAGUCACACUGGAACUGAGACACGGUCCAGACUCCUACGGGAGGCAGCAGUGGGGAAUAUUGGACAAUGGGCGAAAGCCUGAUCCAGCCAUGCCGCGUGUGUGAAGAAGGUCUUCGGAUUGUAAAGCACUUUAAGUUGGGAGGAAGGGCAGUAAGUUAAUACCUUGCUGUUUUGACGUUACCAACAGAAUAAGCACCGGCUAACUUCGUGCCAGCAGCCGCGGUAAUACGAAGGGUGCAAGCGUUAAUCGGAAUUACUGGGCGUAAAGCGCGCGUAGGUGGUUCAGCAAGUUGGAUGUGAAAUCCCCGGGCUCAACCUGGGAACUGCAUCCAAAACUACUGAGCUAGAGUACGGUAGAGGGUGGUGGAAUUUCCUGUGUAGCGGUGAAAUGCGUAGAUAUAGGAAGGAACACCAGUGGCGAAGGCGACCACCUGGACUGAUACUGACACUGAGGUGCGAAAGCGUGGGGAGCAAACAGGAUUAGAUACCCUGGUAGUCCACGCCGUAAACGAUGUCGACUAGCCGUUGGGAUCCUUGAGAUCUUAGUGGCGCAGCUAACGCGAUAAGUCGACCGCCUGGGGAGUACGGCCGCAAGGUUAAAACUCAAAUGAAUUGACGGGGGCCCGCACAAGCGGUGGAGCAUGUGGUUUAAUUCGAAGCAACGCGAAGAACCUUACCUGGCCUUGACAUGCUGAGAACUUUCCAGAGAUGGAUUGGUGCCUUCGGGAACUCAGACACAGGUGCUGCAUGGCUAUCGUCAGCUCGUGUCGUGAGAUGUUGGGUUAAGUCCCGUAACGAGCGCAACCCUUGUCCUUAGUUACCAGCACCUCGGGUGGGCACUCUAAGGAGACUGCCGGUGACAAACCGGAGGAAGGUGGGGAUGACGUCAAGUCAUCAUGCCCCUUACGGCCAGGGCUACACACGUGCUACAAUGGUCGGUACAAAGGGUUGCCAAGCCGCGAGGUGGAGCUAAUCCCAUAAAACCGAUCGUAGUCCGGAUCGCAGUCUGCAACUCGACUGCGUGAAGUCGGAAUCGCUAGUAAUCGUGAAUCAGAAUGUCACGGUGAAUACGUUCCCGGGCCUUGUACACACCGCCCGUCACACCAUGGGAGUGGGUUGCUCCAGAAGUAGCUAGUCUAACCGCAAGGGGGACGGUUACCACGGAGUGAUUCAUGACUGGGGUGAAGUCGGAACAAGGUAGCCGUAGGGGAACCUGCGGCUG